rnacentral:rRNA from 1 species
UACAGAGGCCUCGAGCGUUAGGCGGAAUCACUGGGCUUAAAGCGUGUGUAGGUGGAUGCCUAAGUGUUUUGUGAAAUCCCACGGCUUAACCGUGGAAUUGCUUGACAUACUGGGUGUCUUGAGCCACUCAGGGGCUACCGGAACAAAUGGUGGAGCGGUGAAAUGCGUAGAUAUCAUUUGGAACGCCAAUGGUGAAAACAGGUAGCUGGGGGUGUGCUGACACUGAGACACGAAAGCCAGGGGAGCAAACGGG